rnacentral:rRNA from 1 species
AAUAUUGGUCAAUGGAGGCAACUCUGAACCAGCCACGCAGCGUGAAGGAUUACGGACCUACGGGUUGUAAACAUCUGUUAUACAGGAAUAAAGUGAGUCACGUGUGCCUGUUUGCUUGUCCUACAUGAAUAUGGAUCGUCUAACUCCAAGCCAGCAGCCGCGGUAAUACGGAGGAUCCAACCGUUAUCCGGAUUUAUUGGGUUUAAAGGGUGCGCAGGCGGAAGAUUAAGUCGGCGGUGAAAUUUUGCAGCUCAACUGUAAAAGUGCCAUCGCUACUGGUUUUCGUGAGUGUGGAUGAAGUAGGCGGACUUUUGGGUGUAGCGGUGAAAUGCAUAGAUAUCACGAGGAACUCCGAUUGCGCAGGCAGCUUACUAGGCCAUAACUGACGCUCAGGCGCGAAGGCGUGGGGAUCAAACAGG